CUACGGGUCGCUGCAGGCGCGAAACCUCCUCAAUGCACUAACGUGCGAAGGGGUUACCUCGAGUGCUACCUGAAGAAGGUGGCUUUUCCUUGGUCUAAAAAGCCUCGGGAAUAAGAGGGGGGCAAGACUGGUGGUCAGCCGCCGCGGUAACACCAGCCCCUCGAGUGGUGGGGAUGAUUAUUUGGCCUAAAGCGUCCGUAGCCGGCCGGGUAAGUUUCCCGUUAAAUCCAACGUCUCAAGCGUUGGACUGCGGGAAAUACUGCCUGGCUAGAGAGUGGGAGAGGUCAGCGGUAUUCUGGGGGUAGGGGCGAAAUCCUUUGAUCCCCGGAGGACCACCAGUGGCGAAGGCUGCUGACUAGAACACGUCUGACGGUCAGGGACGAAAGCUGGGGUAGCGAACCGGAUUAGAUACCCGGGUAGUC
rnacentral:rRNA from 1 species